GUUUUCUUUUGGUUGCCCAAAGAAGAAACAUCGCGUUUGCGUUUAACCACUUUUGUCCGUCUUGAGAUUUUCUUUUUCAGCGAUUCAGAGAUCAAGAUGAACCCACGACUUGUAUUGGUGCUGUUGGCCUUGGUUGCUAUGACUACGUCAUUGACGAUUAGAGAUGAUAGUGAAGAGAACUAUGAUGAUUUGAAGGAGCGUGAGAGGGAUCCUGGCUGUAAUGCUUGCUAUGGGCGAUUCGGAAAAACUCACGACGCUUGCUGCUCACCCAAAAGAUGCAACUUCCAUGGGGGAUGCGAGUGAGAACCAAGCAAAAGAUGGAAAACGAGACCGGAAUAACUUACCACCUUGUUGAAGCACCAGCUCCGCUUGCGAAUAACCGGUCAAUAAAAAUUUCC